rnacentral:rRNA from 1 species
UACGUAGGGGGCAAGCGUUGUCCGGAUUUAUUGGGCGUAAAGAGCGUGUAGGCGGCCAAACAGGUCAGCUGUGAAAACUCGAGGCUCAACCUCGAGACGUCGGUUGAAACCGUAUGGCUAGAGUCCGGAAGAGGAGACUGGAAUUCCUGGUGUAGCGGUGAAAUGCGCAGAUAUCAGGAGGAACACCGAUGGCGAAGGCGGCAUCCUGGACCGACAUUGACGCUGAACGGCGAAAGCUAGGGGAGCAAACGGG